CCCAGGGCUGUGGGUGCAGUUUGGGGGGGGCUGUACAUCAUCACGGUCCUGCCUACGACAUAAACUUUAUGCUGCGUAUCAAGUCACGUGAGCACCAAAACUUGAUCUUUCUGAGAGCUUCUUGUAUGCAGCCAGCUAAAUAACAAAGGCUUGUGUCAUAAAAGGAUGAAUAAGAUUAUUCUGGUAGCAUACAUACCGAAGGAUGUGUCCCAUGAUUGCAACUCUGGGCUGCAGUCAGUUGUUGUUUGAGAUAGCAUGAGGAAAUGAGCAGAAUGUGCUAUUUACACAGCAUGAAUUUGUGCAGUUAGGAUCUUGGGAGUGCACAGAAACAGGAACCAAAAGUUAUUAAUUAGGCUCCAUGUUAAGGGAGGAGGAGAAAGCCUGCUGCAUGGAUGUACAAGUAGCACCUGUGAAGAAAGUAAACUAUCCUGUGAAGAAUUUACAGGAUUGAGAGACACAAGGGUCCUGGCUCUCAGAAGAACUCCUACCUGUGGAAGUAUACUAUUUGUUAUUGGGUACUACUUAGAAAAUCUUUAGGCUGAGGUGGAGCUUGGGCACUGUCAUAUGGCAACUCUGGAGGCAGUGUUGGACAACAUGAGGGCCAUCUGCAGAAUCUGCACUCAACAAUCACAACUCUGUGAAACUCUUAAAUAAAACUAUUUCACAACAAGAUUGUGGAACAUAUGUUUUCUGAGCUGAGGACACUGCUAUUCUGAUUUUUCUCUUGAUGGGUAAAGUGUGAUAUUUGACAAUAAAAUUUAUGAAAGUU